rnacentral:rRNA from 1 species
GGAUUGACACAUCGGUCGUGCCUUAAGGGGUAUGAACUGGUGUAGUCAAUUUCUCACCUUCUGGAGAACCGCGAUGCCCUUAAUUGGGUGUCACGGGGAACCAGGACCUUUACUUUGAAAAAAUUAGAGUGUUUAAAGCAGGCAUUUUGCUUGAAUACAUUAGCAUGGAAUAAUGAAAUAGGACGUUCGAUCCUAUUUUGUUGGUUUCUAGGAUUGACGUA